GACCAUGUAACUACCAUGCCUGAUGGAAAACUGAUGCUGGACAGCUCUUAAUUCAAUGCAGUACUUAUACAAUCACUUAUGUUUAAGCAUGGAAUGUCAUGUUGAUGAAAGUUUCCCUGUACUUAUAAGUUGGGAUAAUUCAAUGCUGAAAAAAAAAAAAAAAAAAAACCAACAACAAAAAAAUUUGGUUGAGUUUUACCCUGUAAGAAUAACUUUUUUUUACCUGGUAGUUCACUGGUAAUUCAGUGUCACCACAUCUUACCCAGAACAAUUUGUCAGCAGAUGAAUACACAACUGCCACAGAGAGAAGGGAAAGGUAGAUUUACAAACCUUGUAGGCGGAUAAAGGCAUCAGUCUUGUAUCUCCUGUGUUCUAAAUAAUAUCACUAAUCAUUAUCACAAACAUGACCAACAGUGAAUUAACUUCUGUUCUCUGUGUGAGAACGAACAUAGGACCAUCUCUAUUACAGAUGUUUCUCAUGACUCUGGAGUGUCAACAGACAGAGACCGAACUGUAACACUGUCCUACCACAAAGCCUAGAGAGGGACAAGGUUUCCUUAACUUGCUCAGGACAAAUGCAACCCUUCCUGUUAUUAGAACAAAUGUUAAUGAUACUCUUGUGUAAGUACAGUAUCUGUAAUAGCACAGAGGUUAUAUCUUCAGUAAAUAGCUUUACCUGGGUUUCACAUGCUCCUGUAAUCCAUCCUGCACAAUCUAGUAAUUGCCAACAACAACAAGGAGAACAUAAACCGAGCAGCACGGCAGCUUCGCAGUUAAGGAGGAGCAGCAUAGAAUGGGAAUAUAAGAAGUACAACAAAAAUAAACUAAAAGACAUAAGUUUUCAGUAAUAUCACUGUUAAAGAUUAUUCUCCUAUCUUGGACUGGAAUGCUGGUGCAACUGCUUCAAAAAUCCUUCUUCACUCAACUGGAGAACUUUCAUAUGAGAAUGUCGCCAAGUAAGGUGCAGCAGGAUUCUACCUCUAGUUUGUUGUAGUAUAAAUAAUUAAGUCAGUAACAGUACCCUUAAUAAAUCUAGAUAUGCCACUUAGUCUAAGGACA
rnacentral:lncRNA from 1 species